GACUACAGGCCGCCACCACCGCCAAUUUUUGUAUUUUAGUAGAGACGUGUCACCUGUGUUAGCCAGGAUGGUCUCGAUCUCCUGACCUCGCGGAUCCAACCUCGCCUUGGCCUCCCAAAGUGCUGGGAUUACAGGCUUGAGCCACCGCCACCGGCCAGAAUGGAUAUUAUUUCUUACCUAAAUGUUUGGUUGUGAUCCAUCAGGGAAGCCGCAGGGCCAGGAAUUGUCUUCGUGGAGAUGGUUUUAGUUAUAAAUAUAAUUUCUUUUUUUUUUUUUUUUGAGACGGAGUCUUGCUCUGUCACCCAGGCUGAGUGCUGUGGCCGGAUCUCAGCUCACUGCAAGCUCCUCAGCCCCCGGGUUCCCGCCCAUUCUCCUGCCUCAGCUCCUCCGAGUAGCUGGGACUACAGGCUCUCGGCCACUCCUCGGCCUGCUGUUUUUUUGUAUUUUUUAGUAGAGACGGGUUUCACUGUUCGCCAGGGAUACCCCUGGACCUCCUGACUCAGGUGGAUCCGCCUGCCUCGCCUCCCAGUGUUGCUGGGAUUUAUAGGCUUGAGCCACCGCUGCCUGGCCUUCUUUUUUUUUUUUUUUUGAGACGGAGUCUCAUGGUCGCCCAGGCUGGAGUGCAGUGGCCUCUGGAUCUCAGCUCACUGCAAGCUCCUCGGGCCUCUGGCUUUACGCCAUUCUCCUGCCUCAGCCUCCCAAGCACCUGGGACUACAGGCUCCGGCCCACCACUCGGCUAGGUUUUUUUCCUAUUUUUGGUAGAGAGGGGUUUCACCAUGUUAGCCAGAUGGUCUCAUCUCCUGACCUCGCGGAUCCCACUCGCCUCGGCCUCCCAAAGUGCUGGGAUUACAGGCUUGAGCCACCGCGCCCGGCCUAUAAAUAGAAUUUCUUUACUAGAUCUACAGCCAUUCUGGUAAUGAGCACUUUUUCUGCCAGAUCUGACAUGGGUGUCUUUCAAGGAAUUUUUCUAUGUCAUCUAAGUUGGAAAAUUUGUGAUCAUAAAGCUGUUAAUAAACCUGAUACGUUCACCCUCUCAGUGUCUGUGGGAGGUGAGAUGGCGCCUCCUCUCGUCCCUGACACGUUCACUGUCUCAGUGUCUGUGGGAGGUGAGAUGGCGCCUCCUCUCGUCCCUGACACGUUCACUGUCUCGGUGUCUGGGGGAGGUGAGAUGGCUCCUCCUGUCGUUCCUGACACGUUCACUCUCUCGGUGUCUGUGGGAGGUGAAAUGGCUCCUCCUCUCGUUCCUUAA
rnacentral:lncRNA from 1 species